AGCAGCCGCGGUAAUUCCAGCUCCAAUAGCGUAUAUUAAAGUUGUUGCAGUUAAAAAGCUCGUAGUUGAAUUUCGGGGUCAGCAGGUUGGUCGUGCCACUGGUAUGUACUGGCUUCGCUGAUUCCUCCUUUCUGAAGAACUGUAAUGUCAUUAAUUUGGUGUUGCAGGGAAACAGGACUGUUACUUUGAAAAAAUUAGAGUGUUUAAAGCAGGCUAACGCUUGAAUACAUUAGCAUGG
rnacentral:rRNA from 1 species